rnacentral:rRNA from 1 species
GCCAGAGGCCUUAGCAUGUUGAACGUUCCAGUUCUCAAUUGAACACUGAAGAUAAGCAACGUUCCACCUGGUUGGUAUCCGGAUAGGUGACCAUCUGGGCAAUCGCGUGCUGCUGGCU